rnacentral:rRNA from 1 species
UAGGGAAUCUUCCGCAAUGGGCGAAAGCCUGACGGAGCAACGCCGCGUGAGUGAUGAAGGUCUUCGGAUCGUAAAACUCUGUUAUUAGGGAAGAACAAAUGUGUAAGUAACUAUGCACGUCUUGACGGUACCUAAUCAGAAAGCCACGGCUAACUACGUGCCAGCAGCCGCGGUAAUACGUAGGUGGCAAGCGUUAUCCGGAAUUAUUGGGCGUAAAGCGCGCGUAGGCGGUUUUUUAAGUCUGAUGUGAAAGCCCACGGCUCAACCGUGGAGGGUCAUUGGAAACUGGAAAACUUGAGUUCAGAAGAGGAACGUGUCAUUCCAUGUGUAGCGGUGAAAUGCGCAAAGAUAUGGAGGAACACCAGUGGCGAAGGCGACUUUUUUGUCUGUAACUGACGCUGAUGUGCGAAAGCGUGUGGAUCAAACAGG